GCUGUAGUGCGGGGUGCGCUGGUGCGUGCUGGGAGCACUGGGAGCUGUGGUGCGGAGUGCGCUGGGGAUCUUCUUCCGCCUCUUCUACCCCUGCCUGCCCCACGCAGGGGUCGAGCAGCCGCUCUGGAUCCCACGCUAUGAGUACUGCGGUGGGCUGGCUGACUUUGCCCACCGCAGCCGGCGCUGGUGCGCGCCCCUGCUCAGCAUCGCCAUUGGUAAGGGGACGGCCAGCACCCCGUCCCCCAUCCCGGGUGCUCCCCUGUCCCCUGGGCAUCCGCUCCCUUGGUGGGGUUCAAGGACACCAAGGCCGUCUCCUGUGCUCAAGGGUGCUGGGUGGCAGGGAUGGGGCUGACCAGGGACCCGCUGCAUCAGCAGCACCCUGGUGCCUUCUCCCCUUUUUUCCUGGGGCGUUUCUCUUCCCUGCAGGCUCCUGCAGAGUGCCGGUGAGCUGGAAUGGGCCUUUCAAGCCCUGCAGCAGUGGGUACCCACUGAUCAUCUUCUCCCAUGGCCUGGGAGCCUUUAGGACCCUGUACUCCUCUGUCUGCUCGGAGCUGGCGUCCUGGGGCUUCGUGGUGGCAGCGCUGGAGCACAGGGACCAUUCUGCCUCCAUGACAUAUUUCUGCACAGCAGAGGCUGGGAAAGAGGAGUGGAUCCCCUACCGACGGGUGCCCCAAGGGCAGAAGGAGUUUUAUUUCCGAAACAAGCAGGUUCAUCAGAGAGCAGAGGAAUGCGUACGAGCGCUCCGGCUCUUCGAGGACAUCAGCAGCAGUAAAUCCGUCCUGAAUGUCCUUCACCAGGACUUUGAUCUCUCUGUACUGAAGGACAGCAUUGAUCUGACCAAAGUCACUGUCAUGGGCCAUUCCUUCGGUGGGGUGACAGCAGUGCUGGCCUUGGUGAAAGAGCCCAGCUUCAGAUGCGCGGUGGCUCUCGACGCCUGGAUGUUCCCCCUGGAGAACGCGCUGUACCCAGAGGUGCGCAAGCCCGUGCUCUUCAUCAACACCGAGAAGUUCCAGACGCCAGAAAGUGUUGCCAAAAUGAAGAUGCUGACCUCCAGAAACAGCCAGACGAAGAUUAUAACUGUCCUGGGAUCUGUGCACCAGAGCCAGACUGACUUCACCUUUCUCACCGGGAAGCUCGCCAGCCGCAUCUUUGGCGCAAGGGGGACCCUCGACCCCUACAAGGGUCUGGACAUCACCAGCCGGGCAGCUCUGGCCUUCCUGCAGAGGCACCUCAAAAGCUGCUUGCUACCAUCCCCAGUGCCUGUGGGGCUGGGGGAGCCGGGAAGCGAGCAGAUGUCCUUCUGCCUGGCCCUGCAUCCCUUUGGUCCCUGCUCCAGAGCCAGCCUCUGCGCCCGGGACCACGUUCCCAAUUGUCUUUCUGCCUUUGGAGGAAAACCCUGCAAGAAGAAAGAGGAGAGUUCAAAAAAGCUGUGGGAUCACUUGGGCAGGGCAGACACCCUCUUUCCUCCGCUCCAUCAGCCUCUCUGCUCUCUGUGGGAUGUAGUGGUGUAGGAGCCCUCUCUGAGCACUUUCCUACUUCACUGACUUGCUGCAUCUGCUUUAAAAUCUAGCCCCGAGCCAUCUCUUCAAUCAGGCUUCCCUUGCAAGCAGCACUUUCCUCCAGAUCCCCAUUACAUGCUCCAGCCUCGAGGCUGGAGGCAGCAUGCAUGAAAGAUGCGGCACAAAUCCCCAGCGUGGCACACGAGGAAGGUAUUUUUUCCCACAUCCCAGCCUGCUUGGAUUGCUUUGCUGGGCCUGAGAGGUCAGAAAGAAAGGGGCUGGGACAGUUCUGCUGGAGCCAGCAUUUCCCAGGCCAGCCAUGGGCAGGGACAGAGCAUCGCUCCCUGCCACCCACCCGGGCCAGCGACCAGAGCGGAGAGCCCUGCAGUCCUUGGGGUGGCCUGGGCAAGCCUGGAGCAGCCUGGGCCACACUGGAAGGUUUUCUGGCAAAAAGCAGGAGCUAGGGGUUACCCUGGUAUGCGAUCCGCCACAGCAGCCCGCCGGCACCAGCUCUUGGUUGCUGUGUCCUUACAGUGCAAAGGUUUGGGUUUGACUGUGAACAAACCAGGUUUUCUAUCUGUAAAUCCCCUGUGUUUCAUGCACGGAGGGACUUUGCUUCUCAGGAACAUGGGAGUGAAAUACUGAUUCUGUUACCCUGGGGGGGUUGGCACCCAGGGCAACCCACCUGCUGGUUGGCAGCCCUGGAGGGUUGUGCGUUGGAAAGAGUUCCCUUCCAGCCAAGCAUUUCAAUGUGUCUGAUCUGCUUUAAUAUUCAAACUGGUGCCUUUAAAUUAAAAAAAAAAAAAAAAAAGAGCUGCCCAUUUAUAUUCCCCUCACAGCUGUGCUUGCAGCAUGGCUGGGGUAUGAAUGGAUGCAUUCCUCUUACCCACGGCUUAUCUCUGCAGAGCAACCUCCGCUCUCCGGCCGGCUUCGGCUUCAAAGCUUUCCACUCCCCGGGCUCAGAGCUGAAAUCUGACAGUGUCAGCACAGACCUGGCUUGGAGCUCUUGGUAUCUUAGAGCUGAGAGUCUUCUUCUCAUCCUCCCCACCCCCAGCUCGUCCUGCCUGCGGCUCCCUCCCUCCUGGGAAGCCCCUUCCAGCCAGCAGAUCCCUCCCCAUCCCGCCGCACAUGCAGGCAGCAAACCGGAGUUACCAGCUCCGGCCUGCCGCAGCGUUUGCUGCCGCUUCGAAAAAAGCCUCAUGUACUCAGUUGAAGCUUCCCUGUUGUUUUAAUUAAUGCAAAUUGAAACAUGUGUUAAAACCUUGUAAUUACCGUAACACUGUCGUGGGUUUUUUUUUUUUUUCCUUUUUCUUGUAUUUUUAAGGAAAAUACUAAGGCCUGGAUUCACAACAGCUUAUAAAGGUCCACAGGCCUGCAAGCUGAGCCCAGUGCGUGCAGUGAGAACCGCACGAGCUCUAGCAGAGGAGCUCAGUGGCCACCGUGGGCUACGAUACCAGCGCCGAAGACCAGCGUGGAUGCAGGUGCUGUGCUGACCCCACUCCUAAUCCAAACCCAGGCAGCACCCUCUUGAGCAGAGUUCCUUAGAUUCCUUUGAUUGCAGAAGCCCUGUUCCAGGCUGGAGCGGUCUCUUGCUGACCCUAGAGAUGAUUCUUGAAUAAAUGGGAAAAAAAGACUGAGAAAGGAAACUGAGGUGCUGGAGGAGAAAACAGGCUGCAUGAGGUCUCUUCAGUUCCAGGCUACUCCAAAAAAACCCCUGAAACAGAUGGGAGGGAUCGGUUUUGGUGAAUAUCCAGAUUUCCCCCAUUUUAGGAAGGACAAGCUGAGCUCAGCCCUGUGGGUGCCGGCUCCCGCUUUGUGUCCCAAGCAAGAGCAGGGGGGCUGCAUGAGGCGGGGACCCCAAACAUCCCAUCCUUCUUUUUAACCCUUUGACUUACUUCUUCACCCCGGACUGGGGCGCGGGGAGGUGCUGAGACUGUCAGCACCCCUCCCCGGGUGACACAGUGGCACUGGACCCCCCCAACUCACCAGCUUCAGGAUGCCUUCAUCUCCUCACACUGAUAGCGGGUCUAACGACGCUGAGGCUUGAGUGCGUUGGGUUUUUUUGUGGGAUUGUGGUUGGUUUUUUUUUUAUUAAAAUGAAGCAGUUAUGUUGGCAAUCGCAACAUAA